CAGUAGCGUAUAUUAAAGUUGUUGCAGUUAAAAAGCUCGUAGUUGAAUUUUUGCUUGCCGCCGAUGUCGGAACUUCCGUACGUUCGGCGGCGUGCAUCCUUGGGUGGAACCUGUGUGGCAUUAGGUUGUCGUGCAGGGGAUGCUCAUCGUUUACUGUGAAAAAAUUAGAGUGUUCAAAGCAGGCUUACGCCGUUGAAUAUAUUAGCAUGGAAUAAUAAGAUAGGACCUUGGUACUAUUUUGUUGGUUUGCGCACCGAGGUAAUGAUUAACAGGGACAGUUGGGGGUAUUCGUAUUCCAUUGUCAGAGGUGAAAUUCUUGGAUUUCUGGAAGACGAACUACUGCGAAAGCAUUUACCAAGGAUGUUUUCAUUAA
rnacentral:rRNA from 1 species